rnacentral:misc_RNA from 1 species
GAUGAAGAACGCAGCGAAAUGCGAUACGUAAUGUGAAUUGCAAAUUCAGUGAAUCAUCGAGUCUUUGAACGCACAUUGCGCCCCCUGGUAUUCCGGGGGGCAUGCCUGUCCGAGCGUCAUUGCUGCCCUCAAGCACGGCUUGUGUGUUGGGCCCCGUCCUCCGAUCCCGGGGGACGGGCCCGAAAGGCAGCGGCGGCACCGCGUCCGGUCCUCGAGCGUAUGGGGCUUUGUCACCCGCUCUGUAGGCCCGGCCGGCGUUUGCCGAUCAACCCAAAUUUUUAUCCAGGUUGACCUCGGAUCAGGUAGGGAUACCCGCUGAACUUAAGCAUAUCAAUAAGCGGAGGA